GCGGGUGUUUCGGAAGCUGAGAGUUCAGAUAUUACUUAUUCAGGGAUGGUUCUGCCAUAGAAUUAACAAGAUGCAAAUGGGAUCUGAGCUCCACCCGGUCACUUGUCGGAGGUUGUUGGUGUAAGGUCGUCAAAGUGGUUGUUCCUAUAUUUCUGUCCCAGUUUUGGCCAAGUUGUGUUACCAGGAAGACGAAGAUGUGCUAAGGGACUUUGACAUUUGUUACUGAGGGGGAUUUUCUGAGGAAGAAUCCUGACGACAGAUGACACUUCACGUCUGGUGAAACACGAUUUGUGUGAAGAUUUCCAGCAUCUCUGGUUGCAAACAAGGGAGAUGGCCAUUUGUCUGUCUGCGGAUAACCUCAAG